UAGGGAAUCUUCGGCAAUGGGGGGAACCCUGACCGAGCAACGCCGCGUGAGUGAAGAAGGUUUUCGGAUCGUAAAGCUCUGUUGUUAAGGAAGAACGAGUGUGAGAAUGGAAAGUUCAUGCUGUGACGGUACUUAACCAGAAAGGGACGGCUAACUACGUGCCAGCAGCCGCGGUAUUACGUAGGUCCCGAGCGUUGUCCGGAUUUAUUGGGCGUAAAGCGAGCGCAGGCGGUUAGAAAAGUCUGAAGUGAAAGGCAGUGGCUCAACCAUUGUAGGCUUUGGAAACUGUUUAACUUGAGUGCAGAAGGGGAGAGUGGAAUUCCAUGUGUAGCGGUGAAAUGCGUAGAUAUAUGGAGGAACACCGGUGGCGAAAGCGGCUCUCUGGUCUGUAACUGACGCUGAGGCUCGAAAGCGUGGGGAGCGAACAGG
rnacentral:rRNA from 1 species